AAACAAACAAGAACACAUGACACAUGUUUGAUUUUAAAAGAGAUGGUAUUUUGUAAAGGCGAUGAAUCGCAAGAAUAAUUUUUAUUAUAAAACAUUUACAUUGUUACCUGGUAAUGCUUUAACAUGAACCAUACCAAUUACCGAGAGACUUUUUCCAAAUAAUUGUCUGAACUUGUUCAUUGUUGGCACAGACAGAAUAGGGAAUUGUGUGUUGUUGGCUCUCUACUGGUUGUUGGUAAUUCGACAAGCUGCAUGCAGAUGGCAACAGUGCAAGAGCGCUCAUAUAACAGCGUUUAUUGCGGACGACUACUUUGGAGUGAUUAUCAUCGGUGAUCCAUUGGGCUCCACGAGCAUCGAGAUUGGGACCCACGAACCGUAGACUCAUGCUUCUUUUUACUUUUUUUACAGGUUUCUUGCGUAUUCCAUUCGAAAACCAUGUCCUUCAUAUCCAGGGUUACCAGGUCUACUGAUUUUUCAGUAGAACUACUGAUUUGAACUCCAAUCCCAAUCUACUGAUCACUGUAUAAAACCUACUGAUUUGAACUCAAAUUUACCGAGCUACUGAAAACUUCUACUAACAAAUCUAAAAAAUUUAAAACCCAACAUCCAACAACGUGUUAAUCUUCUUUGGUUUCACUUUACCUAAAUUUCUAAAAAUAGUCGGUAUAUGGGAUGUUUAGAAUUUGUCAUGG
rnacentral:lncRNA from 1 species